UUAAGUUCAGCGGGUAGUCCCGCCUGAUUUGAGGUCAAGUUUGAAGUGAUUGUCUCUUGCAAGACGGUUGGAAGCAAUUCCCAUGUAUUCGCUAAACCGAGGCGUAGAUGACUAUCACACCAAGGCCGCAAGGGCUUCGCUAAUGUAUUCAAGGAGAGCGGAUCGGCCAGGGACCCGCAAGCUCCCAAAUCCCAGCCCAA
rnacentral:misc_RNA from 1 species